UCGUGGUCUCAUCCAAACGGAUUUAUCGCACAGCAUUGAGUUAAAGUGACCACAGAAUAAAGUAAGCAAGUGUCAGAGGCAGAGGAGACACAUCAACCAGCAAGUGUGUAACUUAUCAGGAAAAUGACUGACUGAAUGGAUGACUGUCUAGGUUGCAAGCAGGACAUACAUGUUACAGUUAAGUAUUUCAGCUACAACAUACUAUUAAAUCACA